CGGCCCGGAGUCGCGGGGCGUCCCGAGGGAGACCUGGCCCCUGGUGGGAGGCGGGCGCUCCUCGAGGGCGGGGAGUUGGCGGGAAGAGGACGAGGCCGCGCUCACCGGAUUCAGACCCAGAAACCACUUCCUCCAGGCAUCCCGGCAAGAAACGGGCUUCGGAGACGGCGGCCACCCCUCUCCCUGCCUAGGAGUGCGCCCGCCGCAGCACCCGGGGCCUGAACGCAACGGGAGCUCCAGAGCCCGCGAGUCCCAGAGCUCAGGAUGCAGGAUCCGUUCCUCUUGAGGCCUACCUGGGAAUUCCGUGAACGUCAAGCCAAAGUGGGACCCUAGGGAUUCGCUGACCCGGUUCUGGAUUCACGCCAAUUGCCUCUCAUUUCAGAGAACAUUGAGGUAGCCAAGGUUUUCCAGAAGCCUCGCCCACUGCAUCUGUGCUCUCCUGCUCGGUGUUUCCUCCUCCAGCACCAAGCUCCGGGUGCAGCCUCCUCUCUACCUGAGAUGCGACCUCACACCUCCGUUUGCUCCAGGAGCAGCUCCAGCGGGUCCCCCUCCGCUCCUCUGCACCUGCAGCAUCCCCUCCCAGCUGGGGUGCUCCCAUUAGCAUAUUUAAGCACAAGCAUACCUGACACCACUGCUGGGAAACACAUCCAUAGAUGUAUGGAAAAACUCCUCAAGCUCAGACACUUAGAAAACCCCAAACGAGAUUCAUCUUCUGAAAAUACUCCUGCUGUGAUAACAAUGGCAGGAUCUAAUGAUAGGGAGAAAAUUGCUUCUGCCACAUUUCUGUUACCCGUUUGUUCCUGAUGUUUCUCCCCAGUAUUUGACGAUUGACGUCAUCCAAGAACCCUUACGGAAGAGGACCUGGUCGCCUGUUUGAACUGAGCUUUCUUAGGGAAGCGGAGCUUUUAAUUUACUUUAUAGAAAUAACUGCGUGUAGUACUCCUAGAAGAUGGGAAAUCUGAAACAUGAAAAUUUUCAGUAUUUCUCUUCAUAUGACUUGCAAAAAUGAACUCUUUCCUGUACUUAGAGAUCUUAAAGUUUCAUUGAUACAUUGAAAACAAAACUAACGUUUUAAAUUAUAUACACACAUGCCCAUAAACAUAUACAUACUUAACAUACGUACAUGUUUAUAUGAAAUAUCUCACAUUUGCAUGUAUAGACAUUAUUGAGCAAAAAUACCAGAAAUAGCCAAUGCUUUUGUUUUCUCAAUAAAACAAUGAAGUCCUUCAGGAACUUUCAAAGGGGUUUACUUAUGCAUAAUUUUGCAGUCACUGGCCUGCUCUAAAGAAUGGGGAACACUCAGACUUGCAAUGGACAGAAAGGAAGUGCCCAUGUAUUGCCUUUGCUGUAUUAGCCUGUGCCAUAAUUAUCCAGCAAUGAAAGAAAUAGAGUUGUGAUGCUUAAAAUAGGGUUGUGGAUAAAAGAGAAUUUAUUAUUCUACAUUCACAGAAUUUAUGAAUCUCUCCCAAUGUCAAGAUAUUUCUAGCUCUCCUCUUUUUAUCCAGCUCUGGAAAAAAGGGCAAAAUCAUUAAACUCAACUAGGAUUCAAACCAAAAUCAUUAAACUCAACUAGGACUCAAACCAUAAAGCACACUUAACUAUGGGAUCAUAUCAGUCAACUAGUUUCAGUUUAAAUAUCACUUGAAUUAUAAGCUCUACCUCUUUUCUCUUGUGUAUAGCUGACUCCUGUACAUCCUUCACAUUUCAAACAAGUUACUUGCUCUAUUCCCAGCAUCCAUUGCUAGCACAACUCUUAAAAUAGAGCACAUUCUUGGCCUAUGAGAUGAGAACUGCAGUCUUCAAAAUGAUGAUCAU
rnacentral:lncRNA from 1 species